AAAUACAUAAUUAGAAUAAUAAUUAUUCAAAAUUUGAUAAUCAUAAAAAUCAAUCAUAGAGUCAACAAUCUCUCUCUUUUUGAUGAUAACAAAACUUUGAGUAUAUAUGUAAAUAAACAUAAUAUAUUUCAAUUAAUUUGCCAACUAAAUCAUGAAUUGAUAAAAUAAACACAUAUAAAUACUUACUUCAUAAAUAUUACCAUUAUAUUCAAGAGUGCAU
rnacentral:lncRNA from 1 species